UUUUGCUUUUAAGUACCUGUUGCUUUUAAAAACUAUUUAAAAAGUCACUACAAUUAUAAACUUGCUUUUGUGUCUGUCCUCACAACAAUAAAAACUAAUAUACACAACUUUUGUUUAUCCAGAAUCUCCAUUUGAACAAUUAUUGACAGAUGAUUUUAACACCCAAUCAGAUCCCGUAUAACGUCCCAAUUCAUACCAUACUGUAGGUGUGAGCAUGCGUCGUGCUUACAGAAGUAUAACUUCAAAAGUCAAAGUUAUGCCUGUCACCUGAAGAGGGAUCGCGUAAAGUUCGAAACAUUGAUGUUAUAAUAUACUAUGAUUAUUUUAAAAAUCGUCAUGCCUGAGCUUUUCGUUAAUGUGCUAAAAAUAAAUAAGUUAAUAUGGGGGUAACACUUAUUCCAGUGUCCAGUGCAGUGUAUAAAAUAUAAUAAUAAUGUCAGUACUACACAAUGGCUACCAUUUUACAUUGAACAGCUGUUACUGACAAUUUUGAAAUAAUGAAGAAAGUAGCUAAACGGAAAAAGUCCGAAGCGACCUCUAUAUUAUUAAGUAAUAAUCAAAAAAUUUUAAAAUUUUUGAAAUUAUAAUGUUCUGCCGCAGCUUCUGCAUACGUCAUAGCUAUUGACUUUUCUUCAUUCGUGUUACUAUAUUUUGUUAUUUUGGCUGGUUGAGGUGUGUUUAUUUUGCCAGGGGCACUUCUGUCUUGAGGAAAUAUGUGAUUUAUGAUGUCAAGAUAUACCUGGCAUCAUUUGUAGUUUGAGAGAUGCGCUCCUCUGCAAAUGGGCUUUUUAGUUCUCAUACUUUUAUGGCGGAGAUAUUGGGCAAAAAUGGUUCCCGUUUAAAAUCAAAAUGACGGCUAACGCAACGGCGGAAUUCAGUCGAGAUUUUAAAUUUACACUACUAUUAACCCUCCCUAAAGAUUAGAAAAAUAAAAUUUGGGGAAACUUGGCAUGCAAGGUUAUGACUAUUACAUAUUUGUCUAACUCGACUGGACUAGCCCUGCUAUCUUUGUUAUCUACCACAUACGAAAAUUAUUGUAAGGAAAAAAGUUGAGCGUCUUGUCAAAAUGAAGUUACUCAAGAAAAAUUAGCUUGUUAUACUCUUUCUCAGAGGCAUCUUUCGAUGCGUCACAGUUUUUCGAUUUCUUUUUAACGCAUUAAGGGCGGAGUCCCAUGUAUCCGAUUUCCGACAUAUUGAUGGCUUAGUGUGAAAACCUCGUAUCUCAUUAAAUUACAAUUUUACAGGAGAGGCAAAAAACUGUUUUUCUGCAUAAUAUAACCUAAAAACAAAAAUUACGUUACGUAUUUUUAAUUCGAGCACAUUGAGACAAAUAUCUGAUAUUGGCCUAGAGCUAAAAGUGUUAAAUGUUGCUAUUAAAUUGGAAAUACAAAUAUUAACUAUGAAAAACACGUAAAUAUCCUUGCAGUAUAUAGAGCCUUUGCCCAAGUAACUAUGAUAAACUCGUAUAUCUUGAUAUACGUGUUUUUCAUCUCAAAUGAAGUUGUUUAUUAUUAUUUACGAGGUUUUCAUUUUGUCAUAGCUUAUUGCACACCUCCAAAUACUAGGUCGAUACAAUACAAAUCUUUUGUUAUAUAUGCCGAACAUAAAAUGUUUCUAUAUGCCGGACUACCUUUUGUUGUUCACAAAAAAACAUUUCUGCAAGUCGAAUCUCUCAAACAAACACUCCAGAUUAAGUACCAAAUUCUUGGUUAUAAAUAUACAUACGUGGUAUUCACACUAAAUCAAGAGAGCAAUUGAUAUACGUGGUUUCUUUUUUCGGUUGUAGAAAAUAGUCUAGUGUAUUUCGAUUUUUGAAGUUAUACUUCUUUAGGCGCGAUUGAGAGUAAAAUUUCAUAAUACUGCGCGCAUGCGCACAUAGGCAGUAUGGCGUUUAGUCGCUAAAUCCUUCUAGUUAUGUAUAAAUAUAUCAGUGCAAGAAAAGGUGUGAAAAGAAUAUAUUAGUGAUUAGUGUUUUUAGUAAAUAUAUUUAUUAUAAUUUUUGUGUCUUUGGAUUUGUCUUCCUCAGGAGUAAGAUGAGUAUUAUUAAAACAUUUUAUUGUCUAUUUAUUCACCUUGUCUGUUUGUUACCGUGAAUUGUCAUUAGGUACGUCCGAACCGACACAGACACAGUCUUCGUAGCGUAUUUGGUAUAGCAUUCGGCCAGAGAUCGAGAGGUCUUGAGUUCGAAUCCAGUGCAAUCCUAUACUUUUUUUUUUAUUUUUUUGAAAGAGGUAAGCACUAAAGUAGUUUGGUGUUUAAAAAAAAUUAAAACAAACUGUUUAAAGUAUAUUUAUUUUUAAGAAAUCAUAUAAUAGAGGUAUAACUUCUUACGUGCGUACAAAGUACACACACAUUCUUUUUUCCUAACAGUUGUAAAUCGUGAGAUACAGAUACAAGGUUUUCAAACUAAAACCACCAAUAUGUCAUUUUCGAAAAAAUUAGAUACGAGGUUUUCACACUAAGCCAUCGAUAUGAAAAUCGUCUCUUUUCCAGUUGCUAUUUAGACGCUAGUCACAUGGUUGCGAUUGUCGGUUGCGAAAAUCCCUAUAAAAACUGUCAAUUUUUUGUUUAUUGUUUGGUUAGUAAUUGUUGUUUUACUGUGCAUUGGAACUAUUCCCUUCUCCUGCUUUAUAAAUUAUUGUGGCUAUUAUGGAUAACCUAGAAAAAACUAUGGAAGAGAUAAUAUCUCCAAUCUCUUAAUCUCUUCCAUUAGGCAAUCCAAACCACGUGACCUCUGGUUGGCACACACUAACAAAGAGGUUAUGUUUGCAUCUAUUUUUCAAUGAUUUUUCAUUGUUUAUCGUCGUAUUUUGGAUUCAUUUGGAAUUCGUUUCCUGUUUUUGUGAACUUUAUAAACUUUACCACAAUGCAAACUGAUUAUUUAAGGAAAUUAUUAUUGGAAACUCCAGAUGUUGCGAGAAAGGUAGGCGAAACAAUUUUUUUUACUGUUCAUUUUGCCCCGAUAUUUAUCAAUAAUGAUGAAUUUUGCAAGCAAUAACAUUAUUUCUUUUAUUGUUCUAGAUAUUUAUUGAAGCUGAAAAUAAUUGGGGAUUUAGAUCCAUACGCAAUUCAGUCAGAAUUAGAUUUUACAGUAAAGUGCAGUCCAUCAAGUUACUAUUAUAGAUAUUUAUACAUAUCUGGUGGAGUCUGAUAUGUCACAGUUGCUACUCUAAGCAGCAGAUGAAAGCAUACAAAAGCCUUCAGGCACAUAAAUAUUUUACAGCUGGAUUUGUUUUGAAUGGAGUAAAAAUUGUUAAUGAUUUCCUGAUUUCCAUAUUAUUGUGGGAAAGGUGAAGCAUUUCCAAAAAUCCAAUGCUAAACGACUAAAUGCUUGGGUGGGGUGAUAGCCAGUUCUGAUGACAUAGCAAAUUCACAUUGUAUGCGUAUGGCCGGUAAUAGCCAUAUUGCAGCAAUCCUAUUUUUAGCUUAGUAUGCUCAGGGCAAGACAGACGAAGAACCCAAUGUAUGUACAUAUGUUACAGCUACAUGGUUUGGAGAUAGCAACAUAUGCAUUCUCUGAUGAAAAACUAAUGAGUUUUGAAACUGUUCGGUCAGAGUGCUUGUUGCGCUCACUAAACGAAUUGAAAUAUAAGAUGGCUUUGGCAUUGUGUUGCAGCGAUAUGAAAAUGGUUAUUCAUUUUUAAUUAUAAUGUACUUCUUCAUCAUGAGUAAUUAUGUAUUGGUCUUUUAAAUGUGUAUUUAUUUUUGUAAUUAGUAUCAACUUGUAAUAAUAAUAUUCAUUUAUCGUUUAAGGUAUGACUAUGUUUUGACUCUAAAAUAAAUGUUUUAAAAAACCAAA